rnacentral:rRNA from 1 species
GGGAACUGAAACAUCUAAGUACCCCGAGGAAAAGAAAUCAACCGAGAUUCCCCCAGUAGCGGCGAGCGAACGGGGAGGAGCCCAGAGCCUGAAUCAGUGUGUGUGUUAGUGGAAGCGUCUGGAAAGGCGCGCGAUACAGGGUGACAGCCCCGUACACAAAAAUGCACAUAUUGUGAGCUCGAUGAGUAGGGCGGGACACGUGGUAUCCUGUCUGAAUAUGGGGGGACCAUCCUCCAAGGCUAAAUACUCCUGACUGACCGAUAGUGAACCAGUACCGUGAGGGAAAGGCGAAAAGAACCCCGGCGAGGGGAGUGAAAAAGAACCUGAAACCGUGUACGUACAAGCAGUGGGAGCCCUGAUUUAUCAGGGUGACUGCGUACCUUUUGUAUAAUGGGUCAGCGACUUAUAUUCUGUAGCAAGGUUAACCGAAUAGGGGAGCCGGAGGGAAACCGAGUCUUAACUGGGCGUUAAGUUGCAGGGUAUAGACCCGAAACCCGGUGAUCUAGCCAUGGGCAGGUUGAAGGUUGGGUAACACUAACUGGAGGACCGAACCGACUAAUGUUGAAAAAUUAGCGGAUGACUUGUGGCUGGGGGUGAAAGGCCAAUCAAACCGGGAGAUAGCUGGUUCUCCCCGAAAGCUAUUUAGGUAGCGCCUCGUGAAUUCAUCUCCGGGGGUAGAGCACUGUUUCGGCAAGGGGGUCAUCCCGACUUACCAACCCGAUGCAAACUGCGAAUACCGGAGAAUGUUAUCACGGGAGACACACGGCGGGUGCUAACGUCCGUCGUGAAGAGGGAAACAACCCAGACCGCCAGCUAAGGUCCCAAAGUCAUGGUUAAGUGGGAAACGAUGUGGGAAGGCCCAGACAGCCAGGAUGUUGGCUUAGAAGCAGCCAUCAUUUAAAGAAAGCGUAAUAGCUCACUGGUCGAGUCGGCCUGCGCGGAAGAUGUAACGGGGCUAAACCAUGCACCGAAGCUGCGGCAGCGACACUGUGUGUUGUUGGGUAGGGGAGCGUUCUGUAAGCCUGUGAAGGUGUGCUGUGAGGCAUGCUGGAGGUAUCAGAAGUGCGAAUGCUGACAUAAGUAACGAUAAAGCGGGUGAAAAGCCCGCUCGCCGGAAGACCAAGGGUUCCUGUCCAACGUUAAUCGGGGCAGGGUGAGUCGACCCCUAAGGCGAGGCCGAAAGGCGUAGUCGAUGGGAAACAGGUUAAUAUUCCUGUACUUGGUGUUACUGCGAAGGGGGGACGGAGAAGGCUAUGUUGGCCGGGCGACGGUUGUCCCGGUUUAAGCGUGUAGGCUGGUUUUCCAGGCAAAUCCGGAGAAUCAAGGCUGAGGCGUGAUGACGAGGCACUACGGUGCUGAAGCAACAAAUGCCCUGCUUCCAGGAAAAGCCUCUAAGCAUCAGGUAACAUCAAAUCGUACCCCAAACCGACACAGGUGGUCAGGUAGAGAAUACCAAGGCGCUUGAGAGAACUCGGGUGAAGGAACUAGGCAAAAUGGUGCCGUAACUUCGGGAGAAGGCACGCUGAUAUGUAGGUGAAGCGACUUGCUCGUGGAGCUGAAAUCAGUCGAAGAUACCAGCUGGCUGCAACUGUUUAUUAAAAACACAGCACUGUGCAAACACGAAAGUGGACGUAUACGGUGUGACGCCUGCCCGGUGCCGGAAGGUUAAUUGAUGGGGUCAGCGCAAGCGAAGCUCUUGAUCGAAGCCCCGGUAAACGGCGGCCGUAACUAUAACGGUCCUAAGGUAGCGAAAUUCCUUGUCGGGUAAGUUCCGACCUGCACGAAUGGCGUAAUGAUGGCCAGGCUGUCUCCACCCGAGACUCAGUGAAAUUGAACUCGCUGUGAAGAUGCAGUGUACCCGCGGCAAGACGGAAAGACCCCGUGAACCUUUACUAUAGCUUGACACUGAACACUGGUCCUUGAUGUGUAGGAUAGGUGGGAGGCUUUGAAGUGUGGACGCCAGUCUGCAUGGAGCCGUCCUUGAAAUACCACCCUUUAAUGGCUGGUGUUCUAACGUUGGCCCGUAAUCCGGGUUGCGGACAGUGUCUGGUGGGUAGUUUGACUGGGGCGGUCUCCUCCUAAAGAGUAACGGAGGAGCACGAAGGUUGGCUAAUCCUGGUCGGACAUCAGGAGGUUAGUGCAAUGGCAUAAGCCAGCUUGACUGCGAGCGUGACGGCGCGAGCAGGUGCGAAAGCAGGUCAUAGUGAUCCGGUGGUUCUGAAUGGAAGGGCCAUCGCUCAACGGAUAAAAGGUACUCCGGGGAUAACAGGCUGAUACCGCCCAAGAGUUCAUAUCGACGGCGGUGUUUGGCACCUCGAUGUCGGCUCAUCACAUCCUGGGGCUGAAGUAGGUCCCAAGGGUAUGGCUGUUCGCCAUUUAAAGUGGUACGCGAGCUGGGUUUAGAACGUCGUGAGACAGUUCGGUCCCUAUCUGCCGUGGGCGCUGGAGAACUGAGGGGGGCUGCUCCUAGUACGAGAGGACCGGAGUGGACGCAUCACUGGUGUUCGGGUUGUCAUGCCAAUGGCACUGCCCGGUAGCUAAAUGCGGAAGAGAUAAGUGCUGAAAGCAUCUAAGCACGAAACUUGCCCCGAGAUGAGUUCUCCCUGAGACUUAGAGUCUCC